rnacentral:rRNA from 1 species
UGGGGAAUAUUGGACAAUGGGCGAAAGCCUGAUCCAGCCAUGCCGCGUGAGUGAUGAAGGCCUUAGGGUUGUAAAGCUCUUUCGCCGAUGAAGAUAAUGACGGUAGUCGGAGAAGAAGCCCCGGCUAACUUCGUGCCAGCAGCCGCGGUAAUACGAAGGGGGCUAGCGUUGUUCGGAAUUACUGGGCGUAAAGCGAGCGUAGGUCGCUCCGUGUGUCAGUGGUGAAAGCCCAGAGCUCAACUCUGGAAUUGCCAUUGAAACUGCGGAGCUGGAAUCUCAGAGGGGAUAGCGGAAUUCCAAAUGUAGAGGUGAAAUUCGUAGAUAUUUGGAGGAACACCGGUGGCGAAGGCGGCUAUCUGGAUGAGUAUUGACACUGAGGCUCGAAAGUGUGGGGAUCAAA